ensembl:lncRNA
AGAACAUCUCGGUUUAUGAGAGAGAAAAAGAACUUUGAGCUUUAAGAUAUUCACUGAACUUUGUGCGAUUAAGGUGAUUAUUGUGGUUGUUCUGAUCAAGAGAGAAAAUGAAUAAGUUUUUGAGUGCACUUGGCGCUGGUGUCGUGGACGUUCCUCUGCGCCCCCUGCUGUACACGGCCGGAGCUGCAGCCACCGCAGCCGGCAUUUAUUAUCAUGUGAAACGAGGCGAUGGAAAGAAAACAUCAUCAUCAGACCCCGAGGUCACAACUGAAGACCCAGUGUGUGACCGGGCCACGGAACCGGCUCUGCUCCAACUCACAGAGGUUCCUCAGGACCAGCUCAUGGACACUGUGACUGAGGCUGAGGAGAAGACUCAGAAGCUUCUGGUGUCCAAUACUCAGCUGCAGGAGAGAGUGAGGGAGCUGGAGGAACUGCUCUGUGAGGCACGCAGAGAUGACAUGAAAAGCAAG